rnacentral:rRNA from 1 species
AUAACCGGAAGAAAUUCCGACUAAUACAGCAUAACACUCCUGAGGGACAUCCUUCGGGAGUCAAAGGAGGUAACUCCGGUGACGGAUGGGCAUGCGGCGCAUUAGGUAGUUGGUAGGGUAACGGCCUACCAAGCCGACGAUGCGUAGGGGUUCUGAGAGGAAGGUCCCCCACAUUGGAACUGAGACACGGUCCAAACUCCUACGGGAGGCAGCAGUGAGGAAUAUUGGUCAAUGGCCGGAAGGCUGAACCAGCCAAGUCGCGUGAGGGAAUAAGGCCCUAUGGGUCGUAAACCUCUUUUGUCAGGGAGCAAAGGCGUCCACGUGUGGACGAGAGGAGAGUACCUGAAGAAAAAGCAUCGGCUAACUCCGUGCCAGCAGCCGCGGUAAUACGGAGGAUGCGAGCGUUAUCCGGAUUUAUUGGGUUUAAAGGGUGCGUAGGCGGAGUGUCAAGUCAGCGGUAAAAUUUCGGGGCUCAACCCCGUCGUGCCGUUGAAACUGACACCCUUGAGUGAGUGAGAAGUAAGCGGAAUGCGUGGUGUAGCGGUGAAAUGCAUAGAUAUCACGCAGAACGCCGAUUGCGAAGGCAGCUUACCGGCGCUCAACUGACGCUGAGGCACGAAAGUGCGGGUAUCGAACAGGAUUAGAUACCCUGGUAGUCCGCACAGUAAACGAUGAAUGCUAGAUGUCCGGGGCGAAUGAGUCCUGGGUG